AUUGAACGCUGGCGGCAGGCCUAACACAUGCAAGUCGAGCGGAUGAAGGGAGCUUGCUCCUGGAUUCAGCGGCGGACGGGUGAGUAAUGCCUAGGAAUCUGCCUGGUAGUGGGUGAUAACGUCCGGAAUCGGGCGCUAAUCCCUCAUACGUCCUGAGGGAGAAAGUGGGGGAUCUUCGGACCUCACGCUAUCAGAUGAGCCUAGGUCGGAUUAGCUAGUUGGUGGGGUAAAGGCCUACCAAGGCGACGAUCCGUAACUGGGCUGAGAGGAUGAUCAGUCACACUAGAAAUGAGACACGAUACAAACUCCUACGGGAGGCAGAAGUAGGGAAUAUUGGACGAUGGGCGAAAGCAUGAGCAAGACAGGCAGCGUGUGUGAAGAAGGUCUUAGGAUUGUAAAGCACUUUAAGGUGGGAGGAAGGGAAGUAAGUGAAUACAUUGCUGUUUUGACGGUACCAACAGAAUAAGCAACGGCUAACGUCGUG
rnacentral:rRNA from 1 species